UACGGAGGGAGCUAGCGUUGUUCGGAAUUACUGGGCGUAAAGCACGCGUAGGCGGCUUUGUAAGUUAGAGGUGAAAGCCCGGGGCUCAACCCCGGAACUGCCUUUAAGACUGCAUCGCUUGAAUCCGGGAGAGGUGAGUGGAAUUCCGAGUGUAGAGGUGAAAUUCGUAGAUAUUCGGAAGAACACCAGUGGCGAAGGCGGCUCACUGGACCGGCAUUGACGCUGAUGUGCGAAAGCGUGGGGAGCAAACAGG
rnacentral:rRNA from 1 species